GUACUUAAUGCACACAUCGACCAUUAUGGGACACACUUCACACUAUCUUAUCUAUAAAUCAAUAAAAUCCAACUAUUAUUACUUAUAUAUAUUGAAAAUAACCAGAAACCACUACUGGAUCUGGCUUGGUAUGUGAUAACUGAGAUAUUGUAAGGUACUUAGAACUAUUAUUUUUGGAACUGACAUUUGCAGAUGUAUAGAGCAUAGUAUCUGAAAAUGAUGAAGAUAUGAUGUGUUAUUAGGGAUGAUUAUUAUGGCCGAGAAGGUGAUGUCUUGAACCAGUUAUGCCUUCAUGAGGAUGACCAUGUUCUCCAACUGGCAAUAUAACAUGACCUGUACCAUGAUGAUGAGGACCUUCUCCCAUGGCUUCAUGAACUGGCAUAUGUUCCUCAUGGUGAAUGUGGACAGGGAUGGGAACAGGCACAUGUACUGGAUGAGGUUUCUUUUUCUUUUUAACAAAACAAAAUAAACCAAUUGCCAGAAAUGCUAAGAAGAAUAGACCUCCUAGUGAGACACCCACAAUUAUGAGAGUGGUAUGGUUGUCUCCUCCUGGUGGUGGCGGAGUUAAUACAAUUUCAGGAAUUAAUGGACUUGGUGGUGGUGGUGGACGAAAGUUACCUCCCACUGGCGGUAUGUAUAUUGGAGUUGGUGGAGUGUAUGGUGUUGGUGGGGUAUAUGGUGGUGGUGGUGGUGAUUUUGGUGUCCAUACUGGAGUUGGUGGUGCUGAUGGGUUGUAUGGUGAUGGUGUAGGAGUAAUGGGAGAAGGUGGUGGUGGUGAUUUUGAUGUCCAUACUGGAGN
rnacentral:lncRNA from 1 species